rnacentral:rRNA from 1 species
UACGUAGGGGGCAAGCGUUGUCCGGAAUCAUUGGGCGUAAAGAGCGUGUAGGCGGUCCGAUAAGUCGGUUGUGAAAGUCCAGGGCUCAACCCUGGGAUGCCGACCGAUACUGUCGGACUAGAGUUCGGAAGAGGCGAGUGGAAUUCCCGGUGUAGCUGUGAAAUGCGUAGAUAUCGAGAGGAACACCUGCGGCGAAGGCGGGUAGCUGGGCCGACACUGACGCUGAGGCGCGAAAGCCAGGGGAGCGAACGGG